rnacentral:lncRNA from 1 species
GGACAGGCUCUGUGCAUCACUCUGUCAACCGCAUCUCCCCAAGACCUGCAAUGAGAAGUGAUGGGGCCCAGCUGUUCACUAGAACCCAAGCCCCUCCUGCAGCCCCUUCCACCCUCCACUGCAGGCUGGGAAAACGGCUCCCCAGGCCGAAGCUUUGGUGCAGUGUAUUCUCCUAUAGCCUGUACCCAGGACACUGGAAUCAGCUGUACGGAUGUGUGUGUGUGAAGCUCGUGAGCAUUAGGCGUGGGGUCACCAGAAGAAAGGACCCUGAGCUAUGA